rnacentral:miRNA from 1 species
UUAAUGUGUUGUGUUUGUCGG